rnacentral:rRNA from 1 species
AUUGAACGCUGGCGGCAUGCCUUACACAUGCAAGUCGAACGGCAGCACGGGUGCUUGCACCUGGUGGCGAGUGGCGAACGGGUGAGUAAUACAUCGGAACAUGUCCUGUAGUGGGGGAUAGCCCGGCGAAAGCCGGAUUAAUACCGCAUACGAUCUACGGCUGAAAGCGGGGGACCUUCGGGCCUCGCGCUAUCGGGUUGGCCGAUGGCUGAUUAGCUAGUUGGUGGGGUAAAGGCCUACCAAGGCGACGAUCAGUAGCUGGUCUGAGAGGACGACCAGCCACACUGGGACUGAGACACGGCCCAGACUCCUACGGGAGGCAGCAGUGGGGAAUUUUGGACAAUGGGCGAAAGCCUGAUCCAGCAAUGCCGCGUGUGUGAAGAAGGCCUUCGGGUUGUAAAGCACUUUUGUCCGGAAAGAAAUCCUUGGCCCUAAUACGGUCGGGGGAUGACGGUACCGGAAGAAUAAGCACCGGCUAACUACGUG